CCUGUGGUCUGGGCCGUGGCCCUGGGUCCAGCUGUGGACGGGCUGUGGCCUGGCGUCUGCUCUGUGGCCUGUGGUCUGGGCCGUGGCCCUGGGUCCAGCUGUGGACGGGCUGUGGCCUGGCGUCUGCUCUGUGGCCUGUGGUCUGGGCCGUGGCCCUGGGUCCAGCUGUGGACGGGCUGUGGCCUGGCGUCUGCUCUGUGGCCUGUGGUCUGGGCCGUGGCCCUGGGUCCAGCUGUGGACGGGCUGUGGCCUGGCGUCUGCUCUGUGGCCAGGGGUCUGGGCUGGGUGCAGGGGUGGGUGCAGGUGGGUACAGGGGCUCACCAUGACUCCCCGCAGGUGAGUGACGGCAGGUGGCUGCAGGCGCCGGCCCAGCCAGUGGACACGGCAGAGCACGCCCGGCCUCACCAUGUCCAGGAAGGGCACCGUCGGCCGUGCCAAGGGGGACAAGCCAGACACACUGAGCGCGCUGCAGGCCGCCAACGAGGAGUUGCGCGCCAAGCUGACCGACGUCCAGAUCGAGCUGCAGCAGGAGAGGAGCAAGGUGAGCCGCGUGGAGCGCGAGAAGGCGCAGGAGCUGCGGCAGGUGCGGGAGCAGGAGCAGCACCGCGCGGCCGUGCUGCUGACCGAGCUGCGCGCGCGGCUGCACGAGGACAAGCUGCGGGAGCUGCAGGCGGCGCGGGAGGCGCUGCAGCGGCAGCACGAGGCCGAGCUGCUGCGCGUGGUGCGGGCCAAGGACGGCGAGAGGCAGCGGCUGCAGGCGCGGCUGCGGGCGCCGCGGGGCGCGGGGACGCGGGGGGCCGAGGCCCGCGACGAGGCGCGCAGGGGCUUCGAGCCCGAGCGGGCGCGGCUGCAGCAGGAGAUCGCGGAGCUGCGGGGCGCCAAGCGCCAGGCCGAGGAGGCGCUGUCGGCGGCCGCCCGCAACGACCGGGCCAAGGCGGCCGAGAUGCGCAGCGUGUGCCACCUGCACCAGGAGGAGCUGACGCGCAUCCGCAAGGAGUGUGAGCGCGACAUCCGCCGGCUGAUGGAGGAGAUAAAGUUUAAAGACAGAGCACUCUUCGUGCUGGAGAGGGAGUUAGGGCUGCAAGCCGGCCAUGCUCACAGGCUGCAGCUCCAGAAGGAGGCUCUGGACCAGCAGCUGGCCCAGGCCCGAGGGGCCGAGCGCCACCCAGGCAGCCCCAGGCGGGAGCCCCCCCUCGCGGGCGGUGCAGGAGAUGCUCAGGACCACCCGGGAAACCCCCAGCUGGACGAGAAGGAUGCCCGACGCUUCCAGCUGAAGAUCGCCGAGCUCAGCGCCAUCAUCCGGAAGCUGGAGGACCGGAACGCGCUGCUGUCAGAGGAGAGGAAUGAGCAGCUCAAGCGUCUGCGAGAGGCCGAGAGCCAGUACCGGCCACUGCUGGAGAGAAACAAGCGGUUGGUGCGAAAGAACGAGAGUCUGGCUCACACCCUGCGGCGGCUGCAGGGCCAGCUCAGGUUCCUGACGCAGGAGAACCUCGAGAUGAAGCAGAAGUCUGGUGUCAUCCGGAGGCCCAGCUCCCUCAAUGACCUGGACCAGAGUCGGGAGGACAGAGACGUGGACUUCCUCAAGGUGCAGAUCCUGGAGCAGCAAAGCCUCAUUGAUGAGCUGUCCAAGACUCUCGAGACGGCCGGUUACGUCAAGAGUGUGCUGGAGAGAGACAAGCUUCUGAGGCUCCGGAAGCAAAGAAAGAAAAUGGCAAAGUUGCCCAAGCCUGUGGUGGUCGAGACCUUUGGCUACGACGAGGAAACCUCCCUGGAGUCGGAUGCCUCCUCCAUCUCCUACCAGACGGACAGGACUGACCAGACUCCCUGCACCCCCGAGGACAACCUGGAAGAGGGCGCGGCCAGGGAGGAGGCAGAGCUGCGUUUCCGGCAGCUGACCAUGGAGUACCAGGCGCUGCAGAGGGCCUACGCCUUGCUGCAGGAGCAGGUCGGCGGGACGCUGGACGCUGAGCGAGAAAUCAAGACGCGGGAGCAGCUGCAGGCCGAAGUGCAGAGGGCACGGAGCCACAUGGAGGACCUGGAGAGGACGCUGGCAGAGCAGGGCCAGGACGUGAAGUGGAUUGAGGAGAAGCAGGCCCUGUUCAGAAGGAACCAGGAGCUGGUGGACAAGAUCAAGCAGAUGCAGGAGGAGGAGGCGCGGCUGAGGCGCGAGGUGCAGGACGCCAGGGACCAGAACGAGCUGCUGGAGUUCCGGGUCCUAGAGCUGGAGGAGAGGGAGCGGAAGUCCCCGGCCAUCGGCCUCUGCCACACGGCCUUUCUGGACGGCAGAAGCCCACUGCAGGCCUGCUGCGAGGCCGAGGGCAUGACGGACAUCCAGGUCCCCGAGUUGAUGAAGAGGCUGGAUGUCCUGGGGGACAAUGCCGUAAGUAACCUGACCAACGAGGAACAAGUGACCAUCAUACAGGCCAGGACCGUGCUGACCUUGGCCGAGAAGUGGCUGCAGCAGAUUGAAAGCAUGGAGGCAGCUGUGCAGCAGAAGAUGGUGGACCUGGAGAGCGAGAAGGAGCUGUUCAGAAGGCAGAAGGGCUACCUGGAUGAGGAAUUGGACUUCCGGAAGCAGAGCCUGGACCAGGCACACAGGCGGGUCCUGGAGCUGGAGGCCAUGCUGUGGGACGUGCUGCAGCAGGAGGCCGGGGCCAAGAUGGCUGAGCUGCUGUCUGAUGAGGAGCGAGACAAGCUGAGCCUGGCCAUGGAGCAGUGGAAGCGCCAGGUCAUGAGUGAGCUGCGGGAGCGGGACGCACAGAUCCUGCGGGAGCGCAUGGAGCUGCUGCAGGGGGCCCAGCAGAGAGUCAAGGAGCUGGAGGAGAGAACCGAGGCUCAGAAGAGGCAGAUCAAGGAGCUGGAGGAGAAGCUUUCAUCCUGUGGUCAUAGCUCUCCUGGGUGCCUGCUGGGUGAGUGCUUCAGGAGACGGGCCCUGCUGCUUCCUGAGGGGCCUACCUCAGGACCCUGCCGCUGGGUGCCAAGUGGGGCCCCAGGGGCGACACCCAGGACUCCUGGGACAGUCCCAGCCCUAGACCCAGUCAGACCGGAGGAUUCUGCCCCCAGAGGGGUGCCGGGCGUCCCUGCAGACACGAGUCUGAGGCCCCCAGGACUGGCCCGGACAUGCAGUGCACAGAAGCAGACCCCCCACUCCCAGCCUUUGCUUUGGGGCGUCUGGGUUGAGGCGCCAGGAGAUGGGGGGCAUGUUUAAUGGACAGAGAGGCUGGAGCUGCAGCUCACCCCAGGGACCUGGCCUGGAACCUCACAUCUGCAAGCCCUGUGGAGCCACACCCCUCCCUCCAGCUCGCCCGUGAAGUGGGGUUCAGAGCGCGACGCCCCAGGACCCAAGAUGUGGUGCGGCUACAGCCCCUCCUUACCCCCAAGGGGGGCGGGUGCUGUGACCCCUCUGAG